rnacentral:rRNA from 1 species
CGAGCGGUAGCACAGAGAAGCUUGCUUCUUGGGUGACGAGCGGCGGACGGGUGAGUAAUGCAUAGGAAUCUGCCCGAUAGUGGGGGAUAACCUGGGGAAACCCAGGCUAAUACCGCAUACGUCCUACGGGAGAAAGGGGGCUCCGGCUCCCGCUAUUGGAUGAGCCUAUGUCGGAUUAGCUAGUUGGUGAGGUAAAGGCUCACCAAGGCAACGAUCCGUAGCUGGUCUGAGAGGAUGAUCAGCCACAUCGGGACUGAGACACGGCCCGAACUCCUACGGGAGGCAGCAGUGGGGAAUAUUGGACAAUGGGCGCAAGCCUGAUCCAGCCAUGCCGCGUGUGUGAAGAAGGCCCUCGGGUUGUAAAGCACUUUCAGCGAGGAAGAACGCCUAGCGGUUAAUACCCGCUAGGAAAGACAUCACUCGCAGAAGAAGCACCGGCUAACUCCGUGCCAGCAGCCGCGGUAAUACGGAGGGUGCAAGCGUUAAUCGGAAUUACUGGGCGUAAAGCGCGCGUAGGUGGCUUGAUAAGCCGGUUGUGAAAGCCCCGGGCUCAACCUGGGAACGGCAUCCGGAACUGUCAAGCUAGAGUGCAGGAGAGGAAGGUAGAAUUCCCGGUGUAGCGGUGAAAUGCGUAGAGAUCGGGAGGAAUACCAGUGGCGAAGGCGGCCUUCUGGACUGACACUGACACUGAGGUGCGAAAGCGUGGGUAGCAAACAGGAUUAGAUACCCUGGUAGUCCACGCCGUAAACGAUGUCGACCAGCCGUUGGGUGCCUAGCGCACUUUGUGGCGAAGUUAACGCGAUAAG